rnacentral:tRNA from 1 species
GCCAGUUUGGCUCAGUGGAUAGAGCGUCAGCCUGCAAACUGAAGGGUCACAGGUUCAAUUCCGUUCAAGGGCA